GACGAACCGUGCGAACGCUAUUCGGAAUCACUGGGCUUAAAGGGAGCGUAGGCGGGCUAUCAAGUCUGGGGUGAAAUCCCACGGCUCAACCGUGGAACUGCCUCAGAUACUGACGGCCUCGAGGGAGAUAGGGGCAUGCGGAACUGUAGGUGGAGCGGUGAAAUGCGUUGAUAUCUACAGGAACUCCGGUGGCGAAAGCGGCGUGCUGGAUCUCUUCUGACGCUGAGGCUCGAAAGCUAGGGGAGCAAACGGG
rnacentral:rRNA from 1 species